rnacentral:rRNA from 1 species
CGGGGAAUAUUGCACAAUGGGCGCAAGCCUGAUGCAGCAACGCCGCGUGAGGGAUGACGGCCUUCGGGUUGUAAACCUCUUUUAGUAGGGAAGAAGCGAUGUGCUUGCCACAUCAUGACGGUACCUGCAGAAAAAGCACCGGCUAACUACGUGCCAG